AGUGUAAAAUGACUGACCACUUGCUGGAUGCCAGCUUUCCUUUGUGUAGAUGUAUUGUAUGUGCUAUAACAGAUUGUAGAUGGACACACAGCGUGUAGGGUUGCAUAGUUCACAGAUUCAUAGUAUCACUGCAUUGGGUUAUAGGGAUGUAUGAUGCUUACAGGGUCCCUUAAACCCUUCACUACUGAGCGCUUCUUGAUUGAGAAAUAAUGUUAGCAUUACAUUUAUGUGACGCAAAGGAUGCGUAGCUAGCAUAUAAACAUAUAACGCAGCAAUUUUAUGUAUAUAGGUUGCUUUGCAGACAAAAUCAAAAUUAUGUCAAUGAACACAUUUUAUUUUUUACUUAUUCAGCCUGUAUAAAAAUACAUUAGAGAAUAUACAGUGUCCUUUAUUUUGCA